rnacentral:rRNA from 1 species
UGGGGAAUAUUGCACAAUGGACGGAAGUCUGAUGCAGCAACGCCGCGUGUGGGAUGACGGUUUUCGGAUUGUAAACCACUUUCGGCAGGGACGAAGCGUGAGUGACGGUACCUGUAGAAGAAGCACCGGCCAACUACGUGCCAGCAGCCGCGGUGAUACGUAGGGUGCGAGCGUUGUCCGGAAUUAUUGGGCGUAAAGAGCUUGUAGGCGGUUGAUCGCGUCGGAAGUGAAAACUCAGGGCUUAACUUUGAGCGUGCUUUCGAUACGGGUUGACUAGAGGGACGUAGGGGAGAAUGGAAUUCCUGGUGGAGCGGUGGAAUGCGCAGAUAUCAGGAGGAACACCAGUGGCGAAGGCGGUUCUCUGGACGUUACCUGACGCUGAGAAGCGAAAGCGUGGGGAGCAAACAGGCUUAGAUACCCUGGUAGUCCACGCCGUAAACGGUGGGUACUAGGUGUGGGGUCCAUUCCACGGAUUCCGUGCCGUAGCUAACGCAUUAAGUACCCCGCCUGGGGAGUACGGCCGCAAGGCUA